rnacentral:lncRNA from 1 species
CUCAGGAACACUACCCAGGCACACACACAUGCUGCCUGUUGGGAAGCUAACAGAUGUAUAAGAAGCUCAGAAACCUCUAUUUUUCUAACUGGGGAAUCUCUUUCUCCACAGGAUCCAAGUUCAGGCAGAGGUCGGAUCCUUGUUCCCUCCCAGUAAGGAUCAAAGUCUGUUGAAACUGAGUGAUGCUUACAGUGGGAAUUAGAGCCUCAGCUUAUGACAACAGAAACUGAAGAGACUUUGCAGCUCUCCUCAGUGCAAUGGUAUUGAUUUCCAAAACUUUGAUGACUCCCUAAAACAAAGUUCCUGGAGAUCCUGGUGCUAACUUCCCUAUGGUGCUUCCACCAAAACAUGAGAGAGGUGGAAAGGAGAAGGCUUCAAGGAACAGGAGGCGUGAUGAACUUGCAGUAACUUCAAUGUCAGUUCAGGACCAGCUGAAGAUAACACAGAACCACACCUGUGCUCAGUUUUGCUUCCACAGCUCCAUCAGAUCCUCUUGAAGAAGCUGGCUGCAGAUUCCUCCAAAUACCCCCACAAGUGGCUGCUGAGAAGUUUUUCUCUUUCCCCUCACAAGGUGUCAACUGAGUUUUUGUAGGAGGUGAGGUGACAGCCUCAUCAAAGAGUUUGACUCAAUGAAAGUCUUCGUGAAAGCAUCCAACUUUCAUUCACUGAGUUUGGUGAAUGAAUGAUGCAUGGAGGAGCUACUGUUUCUUUUAGGUACAGUUUCAUGCAUUUCUUCCAGCAAGCAGAAGCCACGAACCAGAGUGAUGUGGGAAUUACCACAUAUCUGAACACAGAGUGGAAAUCUGUGACACCAGGACCCACAAACUGAUACUUUGUUGUAAAAUCCCACCCCCUGAAAGCUCUCAGAUGUAUGCAAAAGUGAAAUAAAUAAGAGAUGAUUAAUUUAUUUACCCA